CAGGCACACAUUGCAGGCCUUACGCUAGACCUGAGGGGGCGGGUAAUUCAAAGAGUGAAGCUAGCCGGAUGCUUAAGGAAUCAACCGAGGCAGAUUAUCGACAUGGUGUCAAACCCCCGUAUCGGGGUGGAGUCGUUGCUAGUGACGGUCAUCAGAAAAGCGCCAGCCCAGCAGAAGGCAGGGAGAGCCAGAGUCUGGCCGGGGAAGUGCUUCAGACUCUAGACAGAGAAGGCCUACAAGACUAUAAAUGCAGUUGGAAAUUCCUCGUGGGGGAGAGCUGCGCGUAAUCGGAGUGCUACUUGGGAGCGUUCCUGGUGGACGGACCAGCGCAGAACCGUCUCCACGCUUGAAAGUGACAAAGCGGGUCCCUGCCACACUGGCCGGUAGCGACUUGCUGUCUGGAUUGUAUACUGGAUUGGGAUGACUCCUCUUUGGU